rnacentral:tRNA from 1 species
GGUUUGUGGCUCAGUGGUAGAGCACCUGCUUAGUUAAGUGUGAGGCACUGGGUUCGAUCCUCAGCACCA